CACAGAACUUUCUUUUAUUAUCCAGUUUGACAUAAAAUAACAUAAAUAAAUUACUUUAAAGUAGAUUUUCUUCGGGGCUAAAUUAGGUAGCAUGAGAUCGAUGCAUAAACUCCAGUUCUUUCCGAUGCCAGUAUUUCAGGAAGUAUCGGAGGCUUUUCUCAUACGUCGUU